AGCAGCGAAAGGAGAGCGACGUGCUUGGUGUUCUGGGACUGUAGUCGUAUUGUUCGGACUGUGAAGAAUAAUUUGAUCAGUUACUGCAGUCCCACUUACCACGCUGUCAACAUCCGACAUAAUUGAGGUAUACAACGUAGUCAAUGUCGUAUUCGCUGAUGUUGCAGUUGACGCCCCCGACUCCAACAUACUGGACAGAUCUGUGCCUUGGAUACCCUGAGAAUAGAAUAACGGAGCUCAGACGAAGUUAUCUUGGUGUUAAAAUGGGACUAAUAUGAAGACUCGGAUGAUGCGAAGUACGCCAAAAGACAAUGGAUGUUUUUUUACACAUCGAGAUAAAGUUGUGAAUUUAUAUUUAAUUACGGUACAAUCGUGCCAAGUUGUGAUUGUUUGUUAACGUCUUGAUAAUAAGGAUUGUUUGAAGGGACAGCAUGUGAAAUCGAGUGUUCAGUACCGAUACUUCGCACCUUAAUUUAGCUGGAGCUGAAAUUUUUUAUAAAAAUUAACUGAAUCGAAUCGUUUAAUACCGUGCUAUGAAGCUCGAGCGACAAUGUUUAAUUUCGAUGGAAAACAUUGCUCGUCUCAAUAUAGAAAAAUACCAUUAAGUAUCCUCCGCCCAUUGCCAGCGGGGUGAGUUGAAAAAUCUCGGGACCAAUAUUAUUAUAUUUUGAUAGAAGUUUGUGACCACGAUACAUGUACAGUAAUGAAGGUCCUCGACGCGAAGGUCAAAUUGUUUUUUGUCGGCGACGUUUCGGUUCGAGCUCCGUCGGCCAUCUUCAGACAACAAAACUUUGAACCCCAUUUUAUAUUGCGUAAAUGGCAACAUAGCAAAGAAAUUCAUUAGUUUAUGCUCUGUUAAUUUUAUCCACGUGUUCUCUCAAUUUAAAACGAUGUAUAAUCAUUUACAAGUGAAACAGUAAAUUCCAUUAUACUGAAAGUUAUUAUAAUAAUCCCCAGAGAGAACGGGAAUCAGUUGAACGGUACAUCGGAAGACUUCACAGCAAAAAACCAUAAGUCCGUAAUACAUUUUGAUAUUUUGAUACAUGUUAAGAAUUGAAUGUAAAUAAACAAAGUAUCAGUACUACAAAGAAUACGGCAAUGUUUAGUAACGAAAGAAACGUUUCUCGCAUUUUCCGUGAAAAAUAACUGGCAUUAAUUCUACAUUGAUUUCCAAGUAAGUGUUAAUAAUUCAUUUUGCAUAGUUUCAUAGUUCUUCUUUAUCCAAAUCAAGGUUCAUCGUUAACAUUAUUUUAUUUUACUCACCGUAACAGCGACCAGGAGGCACAAAGUAAUCGCGAAUUUUGCCAUCUUGAACGAUUUGGAUUGAGCAGAAUACUUGGUAGUCGAAUUGAAACAAAGUUGUGAUACGAUAUGCCGAAAUUCGCGCUCCUUAUAUACCUACGCAAUGAAACCAGCGUAAUCGUGUGCAAAUUAAACACUUGUGUAAACCCCGGAAUAAAAGCAUAAAAGUAUGGAGUGGUUAAAGCCACGACAGGAAGUUCUCUAAACUACACUAAAGAUGUAAAAAAUUGACUGCUCAUUUUUUGGGAAUGAGUAAUCUUUCACAAGGCUCACCAGAUAUUUGGCCUAGGAAACGAUUCAAUUCUAGGAGAAUAAUGGAACCUGUUCAGUAUAAAAUUCUGUGAUUUAGGAAUAUCGGAGGUAUCUCAGAAAAAAAAAUCGAGAUGUACAGAGUAUUUCAACACAGGUAACUAAUUUCUUAAGUCUUAUUGCACUUUUCUUUUCUAGGUCGAUCACAUUAGUCUACUUUGUUGUUUUGACUUUUCAUUUUUCAGCUCUGCAAUAACUAUCAACUUUCUUAAGAUUCCUGUUUUGAUCGGUAUCAAUCCAUUUUGGAUUUCUCAUGACUCGUAUGGAAAUUCCCAGCUUUAUUUCAGCCAUUUUAAAUCAUAUUGUAUCCAAGCCUGUGCGAAUCUUGGAAAAGUAGAAGACCACCAAAAUUCAUUUACCUUCUCGACAAUUCGCAAAAUAAACUCGUGUACGCCAUUUGUGUAACCUUAGCAGUUGAAUGUUUGCUUCGUUAGUAUUAUUUCUACAUCGAGUUACGUCGUAGUGAUAAAUGAAGAAAUUAAGAUAAGGUUGAUGCUCCAAAUUACGACUGAUCGUCAGAAGGUGCAAGAUAAAAGUAAUGAAUUAAUGAUUCUGAUGCAUUUCUUUUUCGCGAAAAGUAGAGAAAUAUAUUGAAUUCCAGCAAUUUAUUUGACGAAGGUAACAAAAACUUUUAUUUCCCAUUUCUUAAAAAAUAUACAUAUAUUUAUUGGGCUAGAACGAAAUUUUUCUUAUCGAUGUUAGUUAACGUAGUAGGCAAUCCAUUGCAUUACUGGAAAGGAAUAUUUUUUACGUCUGUAACAGCGAGAGAAAUUAGGUAUCAAACCUGUUGAAUCUAAUUAUAGGGUUCGCGUUUACAGAUGCGUAUAAUUUUAACGUAGCCCCAACGCACGCACUGAUUCAGAUCACUUGUCUAAAUAUAGCAGAAAAUAUUGGAGAAUCGAAAUCGCUAUCGCUCUGUUCAUCAAACAGGUAUACUGCAAAUAUUUGCAUGGUUUUGCUCACUUAAUCGUAUUAUCAUCAUUUUACCAAUCAUAUAAUUAUUCUAUGUCUCGUAAUCGAGUUACUGACAUUGAGUUCAAUCGACCCCACUGAAGUAUCAACGUGCUAUUAUUCUACCAUCUGUUUUUUCCUUUACUUCGAAUAUUAUCUUUCUGUCCCUGAUCACAAAACUUGGAUUUCUAGCAUUUAUACUUUUUCCACAGCGAAAACUUAGACAUUAAUUGGAGACACUGUGGAAUAUGCAUCGACAGUUUCGUUGGAUAAUAGGAUGGAAAAUAAUUUUUGCAGUGUCGAGCAAAUCCGGACGUAUAUGUUGAACACGCGUCGACUUUGUGACGUUUUUGAAACCCUCGUGCAUUUACAGUCAAUCUGAAUUUAUAAAUUCGAAUAGAUGUCUUGACACAACAUGUAUGUGAAAGGUGAUUGCAACAGAUUGCACGAAGAUCCUUGAUACGUCAUCGAAUCAAUAAUAUAAUU